AUUCCAUUCCAUUCCACUCCAUUCCAUUCCACUCCAUUCCAUUCCAUUCCAGUCCACUCCAUUCCAUUCCAUUCCAUUUCAUUCCAUUCCAUUCUAAAUCCGUUCCAUUCCAUUCCAUUCUAAAUCCAUUCCAUUAUAUUCCAUUCUAAAUCCAUUCCAUUCCCUUCCUUUCUUUCAACAGGAUCUCACUCUGUCACCCAGGCUGGAGUGCAGUGCGCAAUCUCAGCUCACAUUUCAUUUCACCAUUCCAUUCCAUUCCAUUCCAUUCCAUUCCAUUCCAUUCCAUUCCAUUCCUUUGCAUUCCAUUCCAUUCCAUUCCAUUCCAUUCCAUUCCAUUCCAUUCCAUUCCUUUGCAUUCCAUUCCACUCCACUCCACUGCACUCCGUUCAAUUCCAUUCCUUCCCAUUCCAUUCCUUUCGAUUCCAUUCCACUCCACUCCAUUGAAUUCCAUUCCACCCCAUUCCCUUCCACUCCAUUCCACUCCACUCCAUUCCAGUUCUCCGUAUUCCAUUCGAUUCCAUUCGAUUCUAUUCCAUUCGAUUCGAUUCUAUUCCAUUUGAUUCGAUUCCAUUCCAUUCCACUCCACUCCACUCCACUCCAUUUCCACUCCACUACAUUACACCCCAUUCCUUUCCACUGCCUUCCUUUCCAUUCCGUUUCAUUCCAUUCCAUUCUAAAUCCAUUCCAUUCCUUUGUUUUCUUUUGACAGGAUCUCACUCUCUCACCCAGGCUGGAGGGCAGUGCACAAUCUCAGCUCACAUUUCAUUUCGCCAUUCCACUCCAUUGCAUUCAAUUCCAUUCCAUUCCACUCCAUUUCAUUCCAUUCCAUUACACUCCACUCUACUCCAUUCCACUCCACUCCAUUCCAUUCCAGUCCACUCCAUUCCAUUCCACUCCACUCCACUCCUUUUCAUUCGAAUCCACUCCACUCCAUUCCACUCCAUUCCAGUAAACUCCACUCCACUCCAUUCCACUCCACGCCAUUCCACUCCAUUCCAUUCCACUCCACUCAAUUCGAGUCCACUCCACUCCACUCCAUUCCAUUCCAUUCUACACCUUUCCACUUCACUCUGCUCAACUCCACUCCAUUCCAUCGCAUUCCAUUCCACUCCAUUCAACUACACUCCAUUCCACUCCACCCCACAGCACUCCAGUCCACUCCAUUG
rnacentral:lncRNA from 10 species